UACAGAGGUCUCAAGCGUUGUUCGGAUUCAUUGGGCGUAAAGGGUGCGUAGGCGGUUUGGUAAGUCUUAUGUGAAAUCUACAGGCUCAACUUGUAGUCUGCAUGAGAAACUGCCGGGCUUGAGUGUGGGAGAGGUGAGUGGAAUUCCUGGUGUAGCGGUGAAAUGCGUAGAUAUCAAGAGGAACACCUGAGGUGAAGGCGGGUUGCUGGGCCGACACUGACGCUGAGUGCGCGAAAGCCAGGGGAGCAAACGGG
rnacentral:rRNA from 1 species